rnacentral:rRNA from 1 species
GAUGAACGCUGGCGGCGUGCCUAAUACAUGCAAGUCGAGCGAACAGACGAGGAGCUUGCUCCUUUGACGUUAGCGGCGGACGGGUGAGUAACACGUAGGUAACCUACCUAUAAGACUGGGAUAACUUCGGGAAACCGGAGCUAAUACCGGAUAAUAUUUCGAACCGCAUGGUUCGAUAGUGAAAGAUGGCUUUGCUAUCACUUAUAGAUGGACCUGCGCCGUAUUAUCUAGUUGGUAAGGUAACGGCUUACCAAGGCAACGAUACGUAGCCGACCUGAGAGGGUGAUCGGCCACACUAGAACUGAGACACGGUCCAGACUCCUACGGGAGGCAGCAGUAGGGAAUCUUCCGCAAUGGGCGAAAGCCUGACGGAGCAACGCCGCGUGAGUGAUGAAGGUCUUCGGAUCGUAAAACUCUGUUAUUAGGGAAGAACAAACGUGUAAGUAACUGUGCACGUCUUGACGGUACCUAAUCAGAAAGCCACGGCUAACUACGUG